rnacentral:rRNA from 1 species
GUGGGGAAUUUUGGACAAUGGGGGCAACCCUGAUCCAGCAAUGCCGCGUGCAGGAAGAAGGCCUUCGGGUUGUAAACUGCUUUUGUACGGAACGAAAAGGCUCUGGUUAAUACCUGGGGCACAUGACGGUACCGUAAGAAUAAGCACCGGCUAACUACGUGCCAGCAGCCGCGGUAAUACGUAGGGUGCAAGCGUUAAUCGGAAUUACUGGGCGUAAAGCGUGCGCAGGCGGUGCUGUAAGACAGGCGUGAAAUCCCCGGGCUUAACCUGGGAAUGGCGCGUGUGACUGCAGUGCUGGAGUGUGGCAGAGGGGGAUGGAAUUCCGCGUGUAGCAGUGAAAUGCGUAGAUAUGCGGAGGAACACCGAUGGCGAAGGCAAUCCCCUGGGCCUGCACUGACGCUCAUGCACGAAAGCGUGGGUAGCAAACAGGAUUAGAAACCCGAGUAGUCC